UUAACUGAAACCAAAUCAGAGGUAUAUUACUGUUAAUAAUAUAAUUGAAUAAUUUAUUCCAGUUAAG
rnacentral:tRNA from 1 species